rnacentral:lncRNA from 1 species
GAGAUUGGACAUGGUUUCCUACGUGACUACUAUUUUUUUUUUUACUAGUAAUCGUUAACUCUCUUUUGUCGUCUCUCGAUUUCAGAUGAUUUUUUAAUUUUCAACAACACAUUAAAUUAAUUAGAAGACUAUUAGAUGGUUUUGCCCAAAUGUGAAGAAGAUUCAUCUAACAAGAUAAUUUCACACGCAUAAACUAGUUCAUCGAAAACCUUUUGAAUGUGAAC